GACGAACGCUGGCGGCGUGCUUAACACAUGCAAGUCGAGCGGUAAGGCCCUUUCGGGGGUACACGAACGGCGAACGGGUGAGUAACACGUGGGUGACCUGCCCUCAGCUCUGGGAUAAGCCCGGGAAACUGGGUCUAAUACUGGAUAUGACUCCACGGUGCAUGCCGUGGGGUGGAAAGCCUUGUGCGGCUGAGGAUGGGGCCCGCGGCCUAUCAGCUUGUUGGUGGGGUGAUGGCCUACCAAGGCGACGACGGGUAGCCGGCCUGAGAGGGCGACCGGCCACACUGGGACUGAGACACGGCCCAGACUCCUACGGGAGGCAGCAGUGGGGAAUCUUGCGCAAUGGGCGAAAGCCUGACGCAGCGACGCCGCGUGA
rnacentral:rRNA from 1 species